rnacentral:rRNA from 1 species
CCCUUAGAUGUUCUGGGCCGCACACGCGCUACACUGAAGGAGGCAGCGUGUACUCCUGGAUCGAAAGAUUUGGGUAACCCGCGAAUCUCCUUCGUGCUAGGGAUUGAGGUUUGCAAUUAUCCUUCAUGAACGAGGAAUUCCCAGUAAGUGCAAGUCAUAAGCUUGCGCUGACUACGUCCCUGCCCUUUGUACACACCGCCCGUCGCUACUGCCGAUUGAAUGAUUUAGUGAGGACUUCGGACUGGGACCGAUGCGGCUUUCGGGCUGCGUCGGUAUUCUGGAAAGAUGUCCAAACUGUAUCAUUUAGAGGAAGUAAAAGUCGUAACA